AGAUAUCCAUCAUUCUUGAUUUCUAAAGAAUGAGCGAUGCAUUCAGAGGCAUCCAGGCAUCAGUUUAAUGAUUACGUAAUAAUACACGUACCGAUUCGAGGCAAGAAGAUCCCGCGUAAUGGCGGCAAUGUUUGAAUUCUGUUUCUCUUUGCUGAAAUAGGAGCCCAAUACUCAAGAAGAGAUUUACGGCUGAGGCAAACCACAUGGAGUAGGCCCUUGUUUGUGUUUUACAGAGCUUCUCAAAGAGAAGGUGUCUAGCAAGGUGACCAGUCGCAUAAUAUUCUAUUGGUUUUUAGUUUUCUGAAUAAUGUUGACCCAUAAGAAAAUCGAAAACGACUUCAACUAUUUCUUCGUGGAAAAAAUUGAUCUAUGCAGUAACGCCAAUAGGUGGAUUCAAGAAGGGCGCCAUAUUGGGAAAACCUGAUUCUGAUGUCUUCCCUCAAAUCAACAAAACCUUCGAUGCCACUACAAUGGGAAAUAAAUUUAUGGCGGUCGAGUACGACAACGACGAACACAGCGAUGACCAGGCAGCCAGAUUAGCGAUGGAUACAGAAAUGACCACUGAAGGCACAUAUCUAUUUUGUUAAACUAAUAUGGUGUUGCAAGAAACUUGCAAUUGAUCGCAAGUCAUUUUCAGGUUCAAAAAUCAUUUGACACGCAUUUCAUGCAAAUUUGCAAUAUUGAUUGAUGGUAUGCUUCUUGUAUCAACAAAAUUGAUUUGCUUUAGUUAAAAUUGAUUUAUCACUUGUCAAUUUGCAUCUGACAUUUGCAAUUGAUUGUAAAUAUUUUCUUGCAACACUCUUAAAGCAAUACCGUCAAACCUUUCUAUUAAGGCCACCCAAGAGGAGCAGGAAAAAGGUGGCCACUAUUAUAAAGACAGGUGGUCUUACAGGCAGGUUAUAUCACUAAUUCCUUUCAAAUCGGAGACAGUUUUUGUUGCCACUAAAUCGGUUUUUUAUUAUAGACAAGUGACCACCAAGACAGGUUUGACUGUACCUCGAAAUGUUAAUUUUUUUAUAUCCCAUUUUGAUGAUGUUUUUAGUGUUAUAGGAUGGUUUGAUUUUCUUAAGCUAUUGAAUUCAACUCACUAAUGGGUUGAUUGAGCCUUCAAUGAUGAUCUGACUCUUAAAACAAAUCAGUCAAAUUGACUAUACCAGUAGUCAGCCGGGUGCGACUGAUAUAUGACAAUCACUAGUCACAUUUCUGACAUAUUCUAGUAAGAAAUAACCCUGUUUUAGUAAAAUACGACCAGAAAAUUGUCAAAUAUGACUAGAAUAAUAGUUGCACCCAGCUGACCCUAUUAACUAGUCAAGUUUGACUGAUUUGUUUUUAGAGUGUAAAUUCCCGGGUGUUGCGAGACAUUUUUAUUGGGGUGUAAGACAAACGUUUAUAAAUUAUUAUAUAUUUAAAAAACGGCAAAUCCAUCUAAGAUUAAGAUAGUUCUUAAAAUUUUCAGUUUUUUAUUUGUGACGUCAUAUACGAGCAUCUGGCCCACGUAAAAUGCAUAAAUUUCAAUUUUAUAAUGUUUCGUGAUAACUUAAAAAAAAUCUAUCAGUGGCGGAUGUGAAAUAAUUUAUCUUAUCUGUUAAUAUACAGAUGGUACAAUAAUAUCCUUUUUCAUUUUUUUUUUCGAGUGAUGAAGAUGUUUUAAUUAUGUAUAAAAUGAGAACCUGAAUAAUUUCUACAAUAACAAUAUUGGUGUAGUAUUCACAUUAAAAAAAUAUAUAUUAUCAUGAUUUUGUGAAACAAAUAAUUUUCUCUGAAUUUAAUGAAUUAUGGUCUGAUAGUUAUUAUCUAGUAUAUCUGACAAAGAUUUCCUAUAAAUUAUUGUAAGAUGUUGGGAAUACAUACAGAUGCAAUGUAAAGAUGAAGUCGGUUUCACAGUGCUGACUAAGGGCUUCCAAAGAAGAACACAAAUACUUUAAAUGGGUUAUGACAUGCGCCGGGUGUGUUAAUAUGCAUUCAUGAAGCCCACCCCCCUCAUUAGCAUUUUUCUGUUGGUGUGAUCCAAGCAUUGUUGUUUAGUUCUGAGCACAUUUCCCCAUGCACGACAUGAAAUGCAUUAAUGGAAAUUAAUUCGGUUAAACAUUUUGUUCAUCCAUUCACUCUGUGCGUUAAUGAAUGUGUCUUCCAAGUAACCCAUGGACGCGUAAUUUGCAAUUCCAGAAAGUUUUAUUGCUCACUAUCUUAUUUUCUGCCUUCAAUCGACAACCUUUUAAUCUACCAGGAUGAAAUGAGAGCAAAAAUAAUCUGGGCCAUGUAUGAAUUGUCAGUGAGAAAAACAAUUGAGGAAAAAAGCACAACGUCAUCUUGAUCCUCUCAAAAUACAUUGACGUUUCUUGAAUAUAACUUUAUUUGACACCGGUUGCAAAUAGAUUAUUGUUUUGCAGUUAUAAAUAUUUGGCAAUCUAAUUGUCUUAUACUUGAAAAAAAAAACACGAGUCGAUCCCAAACCCCUAACUGCUCCGAUCCUAUAGAGAACAAUUCAGUUUGAGUGCAGUUCUUUUAUGGCAAUUAAUAAUUCGUGCUUCAAGAAUGGCCAACAGAAGACAAUUCAUGGACUGAUAGUAAUGCACCAAGCUCAUUGCGUCGCACAUCUAAAUUGAUUUUAAUUAGUCUUUUAAUCCCCCCCCCCUCAUUGCCAUUUUGACCGCCAUAUAUAGGUUACAGUGCGCUGAAGUCGAAUUCACUUUCUCAAAGUACUUUUAAAAAAGGUAUUUGAAAAAACAGAAGUCAAUUUUGGUAUGUUCAGAAUAUUAGUAAAUUCUACCAAUUUUUAUUUGUAAAUGAUUUUUAUAUUUUCAUGAUGUAUUUUUAAGUCAAGUCAAAAUAAAACGAAAUGAAGAUAUCUAAUAUUCAAAAUACGCUGCUGCUCACUUGGACCACUAUUGCUAGUCCACUUUUUAUUAACAUUCCUGAAACAAAUAGCCAGUGAUUUUUUUUUACUGCGUAUUUAAAGUUACUGAAAUCAUUGCAUCUGAUUGGCUCAGAGCGAAUUUUUGUUUCAUGAAACCACCCUAGACCAUACGGCUGUUUUGAAAAUUAACCCCUUCAAUAAACACUUGUGUGAAAUUUAAAGUCCAUCCCGACAAAAAGUUGAUUUGAAUUGUAUGAAAUGUACAAUAAUUCAAUCUUUAUCGAAUCACAAUAAGGUUACAACGGUAAUUUUGUAUUUUAUCGCACUUAUGAGGCGCCGAUAUCCAGUUGCCAAUUAUUCAAUGGCGCACAUGGAAACUGUUUUACAUUAUAUUGAAGAAAAAAUGUAUAUAUUUCUUAUUUCAAAUAAUCAUAAGAUGUCAUUAUUCCUUCUGUAUCACAACCAGAACGUGCAUAUAACUGAUUUGUGAAAUUAAGCGAAACUUACAAUGUUUUACCUUUCUCAUUUGAGAUCCGGGUUUUUUUAAAAUCAUAAUUUUCAACGUUAUACGCAUUCGAUUUUCUUUUUAAUUCAAACCAAAUUUUGGUUGGGGUGGACUUCGCAAGGUACAUGUAUACAGAUUAUUUAUUGAUUACAUGUACAUGAUCAUGAUGGCUGGGUACGUUUCAUGAAGCUGAUCCAAAAUUUUGACUGGACUUUUUGUAAUCAUGAUUAAAUGACACUGUCUGAUUU